GACGAACGCUGGCGGCGUGCCUAACACAUGCAAGUCGAGCGGGGACUUGAUCAUGAAGUUUUCGGAUGGAUUGGUUAAGUUCUAGCGGCGGACGGGUGAGUAACGCGUGAGCAACCUGCCUUCUACUGGGGAAUAACGCAGCGAAAGUUGUGCUAAUACCGCAUGAGACCACAGUGCCACAUGACACAGGGGUCAAAGAUUUAUCGGUAGAAGAUGGGCUCGCGUCUGAUUAGCUAGUUGGUGAGGUAACGGCCCACCAAGGCGACGAUCAGUAGCCGACCUGAGAGGGUGAUCGGCCACAUUGGAACUGAGAAACGGUCCAGACUCCUACGGGAGGCAGCAGUGGGGAAUAUUGGGCAAUGGGCGAAAGCCUGACCCAGCGACGCCGCGUGAGGGAUGAAGGUCUUCGGAUUGUAAACUUCUGUUUUAGUGAAGAAACAAAUGACGGUAGCUAAAGAGGAAGCCACGGCUAACUACGUG
rnacentral:rRNA from 1 species